AGCUGACACUGCUGCCAUGCCGGGCAGUGGUGGCGGGGGAGGAGGAGCUGACACAGCGGCCAUGCCGGGCAGUGGUGGUUGGGGCGGAGUGGCUGCCACAG